GCUUUUGCGCGGAGUUGUCUUAACACGGACCUUGUUUGCUGUUUUAAGUACCAGCGUACGUCUAUAAACGUAAAAUACAAGAAAACUAUUGGAUGGCGAAGCACUGGGAGAGUUCAACUUGAGGGAAUGCCAGUGUGUAACUCCGGCCCCCGCCACACUGUGCCAUCAGAGCAAGCGAGGAAUGACAAAUGACUCCAGAUCAGCUGACUUCGAUCACGAGUCAUCAAGUCAGUCAUGAAGUCAGCCUUGGCAUGUCCACCAUGAUGAGAGUGAAAAAAAAGUUCUCCUCCCAUUCCGUGUGGAAUCGGUAUGUUUUUUGGCUUCUUAAGUUUAGAAGAAAUACAUUUGAGGCUGACUGGUUAGCUCGCUAGCUUGCUUGCUGGCAGCCAUCCGGAGGCCCUGCAGCAUAGGAGCUACGCAAUGUGGCAUAAACAUCGAAUAACAGGAGUGAGAUUUCUUUUCUCUCAGUGGUGCUUGUACAGGUAGGUACUGUAUAUGUGUUUCUGUGCUAGGUGAAUGCGCCAGCAUAGGCCCAGUAGGUACUUUAAUCCUCUUUUCCGGGGACCAACCUCAUCUCCUUGCCUUUCAGAUGUGUUUAAAGGUAAGUCUCUGAGUUGCACUGUGUGUGGUAUUGUGUGAAAUCAAAGAAGGUGAGUGAGUGCAGCCAGUGAGGUAUCAGCAUCUGGCUUCAACACCGAUGGCUUUGCUCUAGGGCAAAGGAUGUGUGAAAUUGAAGUGAGGCUACAUAUUGUCACCCAUUGCGAAACUCUGAAAUGUCAGUCUUUCACUCAUAAAUUGAUGAUGCCAAAUGCUUUUUAUAGCUUGAAUCAGGAGGGAUGGUGAUGAUGCUUGGCAGAAGUGAACUAGCAGGAUUAUACAGUAUGUCUUUUUCGAAGACACCUGCACUGUCAAAAUGAGGGUUACAACAAAUGCACACUGGGAAAAAUAUAAUAAAUGUGCCAUUAUGCACAAUCUCUAAGGAAGAAAAAAAGUCUCUGUUUCAGUAUCUCUGCACUGGGACCAAUCAGUGUGUUUUUGCUGAGGUGUGAAGUGUUCAAGCAAGUGUGCAUGCAUGCAUAAAUAUGUGAGUGUAUGUACUCAGCAUUUCAAUGCUCAGGAGAGUUGUUUAAGGUAUCAGAAACAGGAGUAUUUUGAG